rnacentral:rRNA from 2 species
GUCGAGCGGUAACAGGGGUAGCUUGCUACCCGCUGACGAGCGGCGGACGGGUGAGUAAUGCUUAGGAAUCUGCCCAGUAGUGGGGGAUAGCCCGGGGAAACCCGGAUUAAUACCGCAUACGUCCUACGGGAGAAAGCAGGGGAUCUUCGGACCUUGCGCUAUUGGAUGAGCCUAAGUCGGAUUAGCUAGUUGGUGGGGUAAAGGCCUACCAAGGCGACGAUCCGUAGCUGGUCUGAGAGGAUGAUCAGCCACAUCGGGACUGAGACACGGCCCGAACUCCUACGGGAGGCAGCAGUGGGGAAUAUUGGACAAUGGGGGCAACCCUGAUCCAGCCAUGCCGCGUGUGUGAAGAAGGCUUUCGGGUUGUAAAGCACUUUCAGUAGGGAGGAAAACCUUAUGGCUAAUACCCAUGAGGCUUGACGUUACCUACAGAAGAAGCACCGGCUAACUCCGUGCCAGCAGCCGCGGUAAUACGGAGGGUGCAAGCGUUAAUCGGAAUUACUGGGCGUAAAGCGCGCGUAGGUGGUUUGGUAAGCGAGAUGUGAAAGCCCCGGGCUUAACCUGGGAACGGCAUUUCGAACUGUCAGACUAGAGUGUGGUAGAGGGUAGUGGAAUUUCCUGUGUAGCGGUGAAAUGCGUAGAUAUA